UAGGGAAUCUUCGGCAAUGGACGAAAGUCUGACCGAGCAACGCCGCGUGAGUGAAGAAGGUUUUCGGAUCGUAAAACUCUGUUGUUAGAGAAGAACAAGGACGUUAGUAACUGAACGUCCCCUGACGGUAUCUAACCAGAAAGCCACGGCUAACUACGUGCCAGCAGCCGCGGUAAUACGUAGGUGGCAAGCGUUGUCCGGAUUUAUUGGGCGUAAAGCGAGCGCAGGCGGUUUCUUAAGUCUGAUGUGAAAGCCCCGGCUCAACCGGGGAGGGUCAUUGGAAACUGGGAGACUUGAGUGCAGAAGAGGAGAGUGGAAUUCCAUGUGUAGCGGUGAAAUGCGUAGAUAUAUGGAGGAACACCAGUGGCGAAGGCGGCUCUCUGGUCUGUAACUGACGCUGAGGCUCGAAAGCGUGGGGAGCAAACAGG
rnacentral:rRNA from 3 species